rnacentral:rRNA from 1 species
AUACAAUAAGCGGAGGAAAAGAAACCAACAGGGAUUGCCCCAGUAACGGCGAGUGAAGCGGCAACAGCUCAAAUUUGAAAUCUGGCCCCCGGGUCCGAGUUGUAAUUUGUAGAGGAUGCUUUUGGCGAGGUGCCUUCCGAGUUCCCUGGAACGGGACGCCAUAGAGGGUGAGAGCCCCGUCUGGUCGGACACCGAGCCUCUGUAAAGCUCCUUCGACGAGUCGAGUAGUUUGGGAAUGCUGCUCAAAAUGGGAGGUAUAUGUCUUCUAAAGCUAAAUAUUGGCCAGAGACCGAUAGCGCACAAGUAGAGUGAUCGAAAGAUGAAAAGCACUUUGAAAAGAGGGUUAAAAAGUACGUGAAAUUGUUGAAAGGGAAGCGCCUAUGACCAGACUUGGGCCCGGUGAAUCAUCCAGCGUUCUCGCUGGUGCACUUUGCCGGGCACAGGCCAGCAUCAGUUUGGCGCGGGGGAGAAAGGCUCUGGGAAUGUGGCUCCUCCGGGAGUGUUAUAGCCCACUGCGUAAUACCCUGCGCCGGACUGAGGUACGCGCAUUGCAAGGAUGCUGGCGUAAUGGUCAUCAGCGACCCGUCUUGAAACACGGACCAAGGAGUCGUCUUCGUAUGCGAGUGUUCGGGUGUCAAACCCCUACGCGUAAUGAAAGUGAACGCAGGUGAGAGCUUCGGCGCAUCAUCGACCGAUCCUGAUGUUCUCGGAUGGAUUUGAGUAAGAGCAUACGGGGCCGGACCCGAAAGAAGGUGAACUAUGCCUGUAUAGGGUGAAGCCAGAGGAAACUCUGGUGGAGGCUCGCAGCGGUUCUGACGUGCGAAUCGAUCGUCAAAUAUGGGCAUGGGGGCGAAAGACUAAUCGAACCUUCUAGUAGCUGGUUU